ACAACAACAUUCGGACCGUCGGUCUACCGAGCAAUAUCACCCGCUCGGUGGAAGAUCUUCCCUUUCGUCGUAAAUU
rnacentral:pre_miRNA from 1 species